ACUCCCUCACUCUUCUUCCUGAUCACCAAGUGAGAUGCUUUCCUCUGCCAAACUCUUCUGCCAUGAUGUUCUGACUCACUUCGAGCCCGUGGAAUGGAGCCUACCUUCUAUGGACUAAGACCUCUGAAACUGUUUGGUACCAUCUCUAAAUGGGUGUCAGCUGUUGGGGUGGACAAGGUCAGCUCGCUGGCGCCCUCUUCUGCCCAACACAGGCCUCAGCUGCCAUCAGCCCCCUCUGGUUCCCAUGGUAGUUUCUAUUCUCUAGGAGGUGAGAAGUCCAGCAGGACCUUGACCUUGGGGCCUUUCUGCCAACCAGUCAACAUCAGCAGGAUCACAUGGACUGAGAAUUGCAGAACCAAAGCAGAGUAAAGAGAAAGAAGGAAAAUAGGAAGCUUGGGAAGAAUCUCAAUAAGUCUGGAGAAUCAGAAGAAUCUCUAAUCACCCUGGCCACAUGGAAUAAAGAAGCUGAUCACCCAGAUUCACUCACAACUGGCAGGAGAGAAGGUGGGUGAGACGAAGGAGAAAGUUCUUUAUUCACUGUCAUAUUCUGCUACAGCCAAAAGAAAAAAGCGAAAUUAUUGGAGAAAGGAUCAAAGUAAUUCUUUACUUGUCUGGUUGAUGACUAAUUAGUAUAUUUAAUUUUCCAUAGACCAUGAUAUGAUGAUUUAUAUGGAAACAUAAUAUAGAAAUGGCAUUUAUCUUAUUUAUCUACUGUGUUCUACUUAAUAUUUGAAAAUGUGUCUCUAUUAAAUCUGCAUAUAGAGAUAUCCUAAAAAGGAACUUUGGAAGACUGUAACAUAUUAUACACUUUUGAUACAUUUACUACUAGCUCCCUAUAUAACCAUUAUCUCCCCAAACCUAAUUCCUCUCACCCAUCUGAUGUUUUUAUUUUUACUUACACAGAAGCACUAUAUAUUGAAGUUAAAACUUAG